UCUAAUUGGUGCUUUUGUAAGAGGAGGAUGACUCAAGAGGAACAUAAAUAGACAGGCCCUUCGCAGAGGGAAGCAUUGAUUUGCAGAGGUGCCAGAGCUCAAGCUUUGAAAACAGAGAUUAUAAUUUUGGGUGGCAUGCUUUAAUUGUCAACGCAAUGACUAAGAGUUCUCAACAUCUUCCACGCUACACAUGCUAUAGGCGGUUCCCAAACAGAAAAGUAAAGUUUUGACUCCCCCACCACCAACCAAUCACACUCCACGGCUAGCCGAAUCCUUGGGUAC
rnacentral:lncRNA from 1 species